GACAUGCGUGAUGAGGAGAAACUGAACAGGCAUAGUUCUACUGAGACACACGGUGACGAGCUUGUUAUAUUCUUUCGCUCCUAUCUGAUGAAUCCC
rnacentral:snoRNA from 1 species